AUUGAACGCUGGCGGCAUGCUUUACACAUGCAAGUCGAACGGUAACAGGCCUUCGGGUGCUGACGAGUGGCGGACGGGUGAGUAAUUCAUCGGAACGUACCCUGCGGUGGGGGAUAACGCAGCGAAAGCUGUGCUAAUACCGCAUGUGAUCUGAGGAUGAAAGCCGGGGACCGAGCAGCAAUGUUUGGCCUCGCGCCUUUGGAGCGGCCGAUUUCGGAUUAGCUAGUUGGUGGGGUAAAGGCCUACCAAGGCGACGAUCCGUAGCUGGUCUGAGAGAACGACCAGCCACACUGGGACUGGGACACGGCCCAGACUCCUACGGGAGGCAGCAGUGGGGAAUUUUGGACAAUGGGCGCAAGCCUGAUCCAGCAAUGCCGCGUGCGGGAAGAAGGCCUUCGGGUUGUAAACCGCUUUUGGCAGGAACGAAACGGUGUCCGCUAAUACCGGGCGCUAAUGACGGUACCUGCAGAAUAAGCACCGGCUAACUACGUG
rnacentral:rRNA from 1 species